rnacentral:misc_RNA from 1 species
UGCGCAGGCGGUUCGGAAAGAAAGAUGUGAAAUCCCAGAGCUUAACUUUGGAACUGCAUUUUUAACUACCGAGCUAGAGGUGUCGGAGGGAGGUGAAUUCCGCGUGUAGCAGUGAAAUGCGUAGAUAUGCGGAGGAACACCGAUGGCGAAGGCAGCCUCCUGGGAUAACACUGACGUCUCCGCGCACGAAAGCGCGUGGGGAGCAAACAGAUUAGAUACCUCUGGUAGUCCACGCCCUAAACGAUGUCAACUAGCUGUUGUGGGGCCUUCGGCCCUGGUAGCGCAGCUAACGCGUGAAGUUGACCGCCUGGGGAGUACGGUCGCAAGAUUAAAACUCAAAGGAAUUGACGGGACCCGCACAAGCGGUGGAUGAUGUGGAUUAAUUCGAUGCAACGCGAAAAACCCACCUACCCUUGACAUGUCUGGAAUCCCGAAGAGAUUUGGGAGUGCUCGCAAGAGAACCGGAACACAGGUGCUGCAUGGCUGUCGUCAGCUCGUGUCGUGAGAUGUUGGGUUAAGUCCCGCAACGAGCGCAACCCUUGUCAUUAGUUGCUACGAAAGGGCACUCUAAUGAGACUGCCGGUGACAAACCGGAGGAAGGUGGAUGACGUCAAGUCCUCAUGGCCCUUAUGGGCAGGGCUUCACACGUCAUACAAUGGUCGGGACAGAGGGUCGCCAACCCGCGAGGGGAGCCAAUCCCAGAAACCCGAUCGUAGUCCGGAUCGCAGUCUGCAACUCGACUGCGUGAAGUCGGAAUCGCUAGUAAUCGCGGAUCAGCAUGUGUCGCGGUGAAUACGUUCCUGGCCCUUGUACACACCGCCCGUCACACCAUGGGAGUGGGUUUUACCAGAAGUAGUUAGCCUAACCGUAAGGAGGGCGAUUACCACGGUAGAUUCAUGACUGGGGUGGUCGUAACAAGGUAA